AUUCGAUGCAACGCGAAGAACCUUACCUGGGCUUGACAUAUACAGGAUCGCUGCAGAGAUGUAGUUUCCCUUGUGGUCUGUAUACAGGUGGUGCAUGGUUGUCGUCAGCUCGUGUCGUGAGAUGUUGGGUUAAGUCCCGCAACGAGCGCAACCCUUAUUACUAGUUGCCAGCAUUGAGUUGGGCACUCUAGUGAGACUGCCGGUGACAAACCGGAGGAAGGUGGGGAUGACGUCAAAUCAUCAUGCCCCUUAUGACUUGGGCUACACACGUGCUACAAUGGAUGGUACAACGAGCAGCGAACUCGCGAGGGUAAGCGAAUCUCUUAAAGCCAUUCUCAGUUCGGAUUGUAGGCUGCAACUCGCCUACAUGAAGCCGGAAUCGCUAGUAAUCGCGGAUCAGCACGCCGCGGUGAAUACGUUCCCGGGCCUAGUACAC
rnacentral:rRNA from 1 species